AUAUCCAAAUUUAUGAUAUCGGUAUCGGACAUAAAAAAGUGGUAUCGUGCCAUCUCUAGAAUAAACAACGAUGGCAGAACCAGUAACUUUGUUUACAAUUACCUCCUUCUUUAGCAAGGCACCAAUUAGGGUUAAAAGGGCCUUAAUUCUUUCAACUCUAAUAAAGUGGUCAGUGUAUCUAUUCUCCCAGGUGGUAUUAUUAGGCAGUAAAAAGAAGGCUUAGGGGUAAGCUAGCUAGCUGAUGAUUAAACAUGAUAUGUUCUGUACUGGCUGAUGUAGUUCAUAAAACACACAUGCAUACAGCACUGCUAUAACAGUGGAAGUAAACCAAGAUGGAAAUCUACAAAACAGGGAGAUUUUGGAGAGUUAGUUAUGUUAGCCAAGUUGAGAUUAUCUUCCUGCCCAUUGGCUAGCUACAGUGGUACCGGUACACACAGCAGCACUGCCGGUGUUUGUUAUAAUGUGUGGGGUAAGCAUUAAUUUGCUUUCAAUACGGGUGCAUGUUGAGGGUCAGUCAGUGAGAUUCAGCUCCAGUGAGUGUCUGAUUGGCAAAGAUAAGUGCCAAUGUUGAUUUAGGUGGAGAAGAAUGUGUCUCACACUGACAUGGAACGUGUGUGAAAGCAAAAGAAAUUGCUGCCAAGAGUGUCUGAGAUGACACCAUCAACUGCACAAGGUCAGUCAUUAUUUAAAAUUCUCUCUUUGUUCUAAUUGUUUUCUUAAUUUUAUGUAAAGCAUUGUGCUUUAUAUUGAGACACACACGUAGUCGUCAUCAAAAAAUGUCAUUUAAGUGAACAGUCUUGAAGUGAAUAGUCCUAAAUAAAUCCUGGGUAUAGCAUCUGACCUUGAAAUUAUUACUUGUUUAGAUUACUACUUAUUUCGAUUACUAAGAAAUAUUUUUUGUUUUAUUUUUUCAGCUGGAAUGAAAAGACCUGUCACCCAGGAGGACAAAGAAUGGGCACUGGCAUCUCUAUCAAAACAUGGGCGUUUUACUGGGAUGAGGUUGAUUUUGAGUCCAGAAGGGCCUCGGACUUUACCAGCCAAGACAUUUGAUGGAUUGCUGAGGAACCUCAGUUUUGCCCAAGCAGAAGACAAGGCUUGCUAUGUACUGGCAUAACUGACUGUGACUGCGGAAGAGAAGAAACAGGUUGAGGAAGCAACAGUUGGGCAAACAAAGAAUGUAUUGUGAUAAAAAAAAAAAAAUUAAAAAAGGUGCCUUGAAAUUAAUUCUGUUAGGUGUUAAGCAAGAAGUUUGAGUGAACCGUCUCUCUUAAUUUGUUUUUCUUAAUAAAAGGGCAGCAUAUCACAAGAAGAGAAUCAUAGCCAGCAACUUAGGUUUGGUCCUGGGUACAGUCCAGCAGAGCUCAUACCCUCCUUCCUUAUUUAAGACUCUUGGCCAGUACAACCUAACAGUAAGUUGUUAGUAAAAACGGGUCUGUGCUUCUAAGAAUGCAUUUAUAACUAAGUGAUAUUCUCAUCCCCAAAGGCAGCUGUACACUGACUGUACUGGUGCAGUUGUUGAGGAGAGGGGACUGUUUUUAUCCAACAGUGGCCUGCUUGGCAGUUCUCCAGAUGAGACAGUCUCUGAUGACUCCAUCAUUGAGGUGAAAUGCCCAUGGUCAGCCAGAACCAAAACUGUCUUGCAGGCUGCAGAAAGGAAGGACUUUUUCCUACAACUGGAUGAGGCAAGUGAUUCCCUGGUAUUAAAAAAGCAUCACAACUACAGAGGAACCUACAUCUCACAGGGACCAACAGCUGUCACUUUAUUGUUUGGACUCCAUGUGACUUUGUAAUCUUGCCUGUUGAUAGAGAACAAACUUGGGCUGUUAACAUUGAAACUUUGGAAAUGUUCUUUUACCCAACAGUCUAUCGCAGCUAUGAAUUUGUAAAUAUAUUCAGAUAAAUUCUUAAAAUUAAGUUUUGAUUUUACCAAGAAAAUGCUUUGGGCAAAAACUGUUCAGAAAACAAAGAGUAACACAUUUAUCUUGUAGUCCCUAUUUUUAAUGAAAAUUAUCGGCAAAACAAGUAAGCAGUAAUCAGGAGGCUGGAAUGAAAUGAGCAAUAUAACAAACCAUUGAUGAAAAAACCCCAAUUAGAGUACAAUUAAACAUUUUACCAAUUACAACUGAAAAUUCUCAACUUGAAACUAUGCAACUAAGUUGUUGGUUUUUUUAAUGAUGUAACUUCCUGACUAUAUACACAAAACAUUCCAGAACACUUAAAAGGUACAAACAAUAAAAAUAAACGUAUUCAACAGUUGUACUGUCGGGUCCACAAGUAUUUCGACAGUGACACCAUGUAAUUUUGCCUCUGCACUUUCACUGGUCUAAUUCAUGGAUAACAGGAGUUUGUAAAUUUGUAAGACACACACAUACUUUCAGUAUCUUAUUAAUAUUUUUUCUGUAGUGAUGUGGGACGAGAUCCAAAAUUGAGAAACGUUUCAGUCUUUGAAUUGAAUGCGCUACAUGUGCUCUUGCACAGGAGAUCAGCCUGUUAUUGUUCACUUCCUGCUGUGUGAACUGUCCGCUGACGUGGAAAGACGGGGUGUUCAGAGAGACCCCCUCUGGGAGGAUGUCCUGAAUUGUGAAGUCUUUA